AGGGCAGCUAGCCAGUGAUGGCAUGCGAAUCUCGAAAGCCUAUCUCAGUUCGGAUUGGAGGCUGAAACCCGCCUCCAUGAAGUUGGAUUCGCUAGUAAUCGCGCAUCAGCCAUGGCGCGGUGAAUACGUUCCCGGGCCUUGUACACACCGCCCGUCAAGCCAUGGGAGCCGGGGGUGCCUGAAGUUCGUUACCGUAAGGAUCGACCUAGGGCAAAACUGGUGACUGGGGCUAAGUCGUAACAAGGUAGC
rnacentral:rRNA from 1 species